rnacentral:rRNA from 1 species
UACGGAGGGUGCAAACGUUGCUCGGAAUCAUUGGGCGUAAAGCGCACGUAGGCGGCCUGAUAAGUCGGGUGUGAAAGCCCUGGGCUCAACCCAGGAAGUGCACUCGAAACUGUCAGGCUUGAAUAUGGAAGAGGGUCGCGGAAUUCCCGGUGUAGAGGUGAAAUUCGUAGAUAUCGGGAGGAGCACCAGUGGCGAAGGCGGCGACCUGGGCCAAUAUUGACGCUGAGGUGCGAAAGCGUGGGGAGCAAACAGG